rnacentral:rRNA from 1 species
AAUUGAAGAGUUUGAUCAUGGCUCAGAUUGAACGCUGGCGGCAGGCCUAACACAUGCAAGUCGAACGGUAACAGGAAGAAGCUUGCUGCUUUGCUGACGAGUGGCGGACGGGGGAGUAAUGUCUGGGAAACUGCCUGAUGGAGGGGGAUAACUACUGGAAACGGUAGCUAAUACCGCAUAACGUCGCAAGACCAAAGAGGGGGACCUUCGGGCCUCUUGCCAUCGGAUGUGCCCAGAUGGGAUUAGCUAGUAGGGGGGGUAACGGCUCACCUAGGCGACGAUCCCUAGCUGGUCUGAGAGGAUGACCAGCCACACUGGAACUGAGACACGGUCCAGACUCCUACGGGAGGCAGCAGUGGGGAAUAUUGCACAAUGGGCGCAAGCCUGAUGCAGCCAUGCCGCGUGUAUGAAGAAGGCCUUCGGGUUGUAAAGUACUUUCAGCGGGGAGGNAGGGAGUGAAGUUAAUACCUUUGCUCAUUGACGUUACCCGCAGAAGAAGCACCGGCUAACUCCGUGCCAGCAGC